ACCUCCGGCCACACUGUAUCGCCUGAAUGAGGGUUCUACAUUUCCGGCAAGGCUAGGGUUCCAGCGAUUGUCAGGGGUUUUGUGCGGAUGAAUCCCGCGACAAGGUACCCUUGUAUCUUUUUAACUCUCUCCGAUCUGUUUAUUCCGCUCCUCCGACUAAUCUCAAGGUUAAUAUUUAUCUGUGUGUUUAUAUUUCUUAUUGACCUAAUUUUGACUUACGUUUUUGUUGUUUAUAUCUGAUCUAGAUUAUAGAUCUGUAUGUCGUGUUUGCUGUCUUCACUGCCCUAAUUCAGGUAUUAGAUCUAUACGAAUCACUUUUGAUUAAUAAUUUACGGUUGAUUGAAUAGUUAUUGUGGUUAUUUAUUUGGAUCUAAGAUCAGAUUAUGUUAUUGUUGUUAUAUAUAUAGUAUUUGAAUUUUCUUGUUUAUUUUGUUGACUGACUUUGAAAGUUCUUCUAAUUCCAUGGAUUAAACUUUAGUAACUAGAUAUAGACUGUAAUUAUGUUUUAGUGUUCUCAAGUAGCUAAUAUGUAUGAAACUUCAUCUAUGUUGUUGCAUUUGAAAUUCAGAAUUUGAGUUAUAGUCUUGGUUUAGCGCACAAAAGCGACAAGGUCUAAAACUGUCUCAACGAGCACAAAAGCGCAACGUUUAUUUAAAUGUCAGCUUGAUUAGUUCUAGGCUUAACAUUGACAUUUACUGUAAACUCCAUGAGAAAAAAAGAGUCAUUUUUAUAAUAGUAUGUUAGAUUAAUUAAGCAUUAUCAAAAUUGUGCCCACAAGGUGUUUGAUAUAAUGUCCGAAUGAAAGAAUUGUGAUCAAAUGAGCAUGAGACCACCACCUGAUCCAAUAGCUGUACUGAGAGGUCAUCGUGUUUCUGUUAUGGAUGUUUGUUUUCAUCCUUCUCAGAAUUUGGUGUUCUCAAGGUAAAUAUAUUAAUCAUGCUUUGAAGCAUUGUUAAAUUAUGUCGCAAUUUAUAAUCCAAACUAUUUUACGUAUAUUAAUUUUCUAAUUUCCUUUUUUCUCUUGUUUUCCCAUUGGGUUGAUGGUUAUUUUGGCUUCAUGUUGGGCUAGCUUUGUUGGUCAAAGUUGUCAAGGCUUUAUUCUAAGUCAAAGAUUACGCUAAUUACCGAAAAAUGAGGUUAAAUUUUAGAAUAUGUAUUUAUACUGUAUAAUUAGAGGGAUCCGCAUUAUCUACAUUAAGUUUUGUUCAUUAAUUAGCAGAGUUAUAGCAUGGUUUCACCAAUCUAUAUGUUAACACACCAAUCUAACAUCAGUGAGAAGACGAGAGCCAUGCUAAUGGACUGCCUUAUUGAGGUACCGUCAAAGACCUUUUUUUUAAUAACUACUAACAAAAAAUUUGAAAAUAACCAGGUGCACUAGAAAAAAGUUGCAACUGGUUGGUAUUGGUGGCGUUGGGUGGUGACUUGGUUCUGGUGGUGAAUGGCUACAACGCUGGAUUGAACACCGACGGAGCUUGAAAGUGAUUUUUUAAUUUAACUUGGUUUCAUCAGUUAUUCAUCAAUCGAAGUUAGCGGUUAGGGAAGAUCAAACGUAUUCCAGAGUCUACGUUUUUGUGUUAUAUGAAUCUGAUCUAAUGCCUUUUCUCGAACAAAAUCGUUAUACUCCGGUCAAGCCAUUGACCGGGUCGGCUGCUGUCUCUCACUUCUUUUAAGAACGAGGUGUUGACUGCUAACUGUUUGCGAAAACAUGCCAACGGGAACUUGAAAUUUUUGAGUCUUGAACGACAGGAAAUUGUUGUUCGCUUGGGCUGCUGCUCGACAGGGCCAUGGGAUGUUGUUACAGAGGCAAGAUUCGUUCAAGCACAAGUUUGGAACCUUAGAUGAUCAUAAUACCUGCUGAUGAUUUAACAGAUCCAGCUCCCGCCACUACUUUUGCUCACUUGGAUGCUACCACCGUGUUAUCCCGACAGGGAGUUUUGGAUGGAAAGUACGAUGAUCUACCCGAGCAAUCGUUUUACAUGGUUGGUGGAAUCGAUGAGGUUAUUAUUAAGGCCGAGAAGAUUGCGAAGGAUAACGCUUAGAACCCUCUUUCGCUCUUCAGAAAAUGAAUAAUAAUUUGUUGAUUUUGGUGGUGGGUGUUUGCCAUCAACCUGAUGGCUGAUGUCGUCCAAUACGAGCAUCUCAACAAGAUGAAUUCACACAAUAUUGCAAUGGUUUUUGCCCCGAAUAUGACCCAGAUGGCGGAUCCGUUGACUGCAUUGAUGUACGCAGUUCAAGUAAUGAACUUUCUGAAGACGCUCAUCACAAAAACUCUUCGUGAACGAGAGGAUGCUGUUAUAGAAUCAUCUCGUGGCCCACCACAAGAACCACCGUUAGAUAAAAACGGUGAUCAGGGGCCGAGAUUAAGCCCACAUGUGCAACAAAACCAUGAUGAAAAUGAAGAGAAAGAACAUGAAUUCGCCACUUACGAUGAUAUAUAUUUACCGUUAUAUCAAUUUGUAGACGUUAGCUGCCUAUAGUGGAUUUUGCACCCUUAGGGUGGAAAGGGCGCCUACGGGUAGCGCGUUGCGGGAUGCAACCUGCAACGGUUACCCCCUUUCGGGUUCAAUUUUGCAAUCGGUCACUAGUAGGAUAAGUCGCUGAAAGAGGUGGGGUCCCCUCUUCUUUAUUCAUGCAACGAGAGAAGACGUAAUGGACUACUUUCUCUAGCAGAGUCAAAGCAGCCUAAAGGGGUUUUAUGGGUGAAACAUAGACGAGUAUAAUGAUGUAAAUAAUCGACUCCUCCGCAACCCGCGAGUUUCC